rnacentral:lncRNA from 1 species
GGCUCAACUGUCAAUUAUGUUAUCCCAUCCCAAGUCGAGAAAGACAAAGCAAAAAGGAGCUGAGAAACGCUCACCUCAGCUUCUGAUGGUAAAUGGCAAGAUGAUUAGAUCACAGGACAUGAUCAGGAUCACUCAGCUUUGGAUGACAACCUUCUUUAAACAGCGCCAAGGGUACAUUCUGGCCAUUAAAAAAAAAAACUUCUUUCUCCAUCAUCCAUCAGACUUUACAGCUUUGCAUAGCUAGUAUUGUAUAGAUUUCUUAAUUACAGAUUGGUACACAAAGUUUAUAUUUUUAAGUCAAAUGCAUUCUCCCAUAGAUGUAUGAAUCCAAAACAUGAUGCUUCGUUAGGUUUGGUUUGCCUUUUCUGCAUUACACAAAACAAGUUAUCUUUGUUUUCUUUAAACUCUGUUUUAAGCUUUACAUGG